rnacentral:rRNA from 1 species
AUACGUAGGGUGCAAGCGUUAAUCGGAAUUACUGGGCGUAAAGCGUGCGCAGGCGGACUUUUAAGCCAGAUGUGAAAGCCCCGAGCUUAACUUGGGAAUUGCGUUUGGAACUGGGAGUCUAGAGUCUGUCAGAGGGGGAUGGAAUUCCACGUGUAGCAGUGAAAUGCGUAGAGAUGUGGAGGAACACCGAUGGCGAAGGCAGUCCCCUGGGAUAAGACUGACGCUCAUGCACGAAAGCGUGGGGAGCAAACAGGAUUAGAUACCCUGGUAGUCCACGCCCUAAACGAUGUCUACUAGUUGUUGGGGUAGCAAUACCUCAGUGACGCAGCUAACGCGUGAAGUAGACCGCCUGGGGAGUACGGUCGCAAGAUUAAA